rnacentral:rRNA from 1 species
UACGAAGGGGGCUAGCGUUGCUCGGAAUCACUGGGCGUAAAGCGCACGUAGGCGGCUUUCUAAGUCAGGGGUGAAAUCCUGGAGCUCAACUCCAGAACUGCCUUUGAUACUGGAGAGCUUGAGUCCGGGAGAGGUGAGUGGAACUCCGAGUGUAGUGGUGAAAUUCGUAGAUAUUCGGAAGAACACCAGUGGCGAAGGCGACUUACUGGACGACUGUUGACGCUGAGGUGCGAAAGCGUGGGGAGCAAACAGG